UUAAAUUGAAGAGUUUGAUCAUGGCUCAGAUUGAACGCUGGCGGCAGGCCUAACACAUGCAAGUCGAACGGUAACAGGAAGCAGCUUGCUGCUUYGCUGACGAGUGGCGGACGGGUGAGUAAUGUCUGGGAAACUGCCUGAUGGAGGGGGAUAACUACUGGAAACGGUGGCUAAUACCGCAUAACGUCGCAAGACCAAAGAGGGGGACCUUCGGGCCUCUUGCCAUCAGAUGUGCCCAGAUGGGAUUAGCUUGUUGGUGAGGUAACGGCUCACCAAGGCGACGAUCCCUAGCUGGUCUGAGAGGAUGACCAGCCACACUGGAACUGAGACACGGUCCAGACUCCUACGGGAGGCAGCAGUGGGGAAUAUUGCACAAUGGGCGCAAGCCUGAUGCAGCCAUGCCGCGUGUAUGAAGAAGGCCUUCGGGUUGUAAAGUACUUUCAGCGGGGAGGAAGGUGUUGYGGUUAAUAACCGCAGCAAUUGACGUUACCCGCAGAAGAA
rnacentral:rRNA from 1 species